rnacentral:rRNA from 1 species
CCCUUAGAUGUUCUGGGCGGCCCGCGCACUACAAUGGCGCGUUCAUCGAGAACCAAGGUUGAAUUAUUCGAGGUAUUCUUGCAAAACGCGUCUUGAUUGGGAUAGAUCCUUGUAAUUGUUGGUCUUGAACGAGGAAUUCCUUGUAAGCGUGGUUUAUCAUCCCACGUUGAAUGCGUCCCUGCCCUUUGUACACACCGCCCGUCGCUCCUACCGAUGAAUUGUCCGGUGAAGUUCAUGGAGAGCUGUUUCACUGAGAUGUGCUUAAAGCGAGAUGAACCUAGCGGUUUAGAGGAAGGAGAAGUCGUAACA